GCCGAAAUAGCUCAGUUGGGAAACGUUAGACUGAAGAUCUAAAAGGUCCUAAUAGUUCAAUCACCUGGGUUUCGGCA